GAUAUACAUUCUAAGUAGUUCAUAUCUAUAUCUAACUGAGUAAAACCUAGAUUUCGUGUGAUUUCAAGCAUAUCCAUCUAAAGAAAAUGAACUGCUACGUCGCAACCCAAGAAUCAAUAGUAUAUCUUUAUGGUGGAAAAACUCAGUAAAAAAGAAAGAUCCAACUCUUUGAUAUCAUUCAUGAUAAAAAGGUAAACAAAAGGUUGAGAUUGUUUGUAAACGACAGUUUCAAGUUAUAUCUGAGUAUAAAUUUAUGAUUUAUCUAAAAAGACCUAGUUCAACUUAAGUCAUCCAUACGGGUGAAAGUGGUAUGCAAUUAAUUGUCAAUAUAUUGAGAUCAUAUCAAAUUACUUCGUCACAUUGUUUUCAUUACCUUAAUUUUCGAGAAUACAACAAAUUGACAUAAGGAAUUUCAUAUCUUUUUAUUAGUACAAUGAUAUUUUUUAAAGUAAAUAUUUUAAAAUGAAACUGACAGAAAAUUUGAGACAAAGCUCAUAUGUGUUGAUACUCAAAUGUAUUGAUCAAAGAGAAAUCUUAAAGUUUUUGAUUCAUCUACUUCUUAUGUAUAUGGGCUGAUUUCUAUCUCUUAAACGCUAGUGGCAGACCGAGAAAAAUAAAACAAAAACGCUAUUGGUAGAGUGAAGUUGGGUCCAAUUGGCAGAAAAAAAUCGAAAUACUUUUCUAACAUGGGACAUAAGCAAGUCUUUGCCCAAAAGAAGAAAAGUAUAAGUCUUUCUACCGUGUCUUGGCGGGCAAGUGUAAGGACAAAAUUAGUUUUGAAAUAGUCAAAAAUCAUCAAUAAUAAUGAUGUAACCAAUGAAGAUGUAUAAAUUAAUCAACUCAUAUCUUGCACAAAAGUCUAUAUAAAUCAUCUCUUCUGUUUACUUCUGUUUACAUCUAGUCUUUACGGUUUCUAUAGAACAUAUCUUCAACUAACUAAUGGCUAACAAGCUCUUGUAUUUUGUAUUGAUGGCGGUGUUUCUACUGUUUAGUGUGUCCAAAAUCUGGUGGGAAACUCCUAAUAAACGGCGAGUUUACUCGACAAUGGAAUUGGUCGAUAAACUUUUUAAAUCGGGAAAAGCGUUACUUCAUAUCGGAUUCGAUGAAGAUCAAGAGUACUUUAAAUCUUAUUUUCUGCUAUAGAUAUUACAUCAGGUUUUUUUUUUUGAUAAACUAUUACAUCAGGUUAGCAUGUGUUGUAUAUGGUUUUCUCAAUGGCUAUUGUUGUGUUUUUUUUUGUUUAUAAUAAAAGUAAAACAGUUAUGUAAUCAAAGUCAAAACUAUUUAUGCAUCAUGGAUAAAUUAGUUACAAAAAAUAUUCAGCAUGGUGCCGAACAUUUCAUCGAACAUAUAUUUCAUAGGACGGUUCAGAAUGGUGCAGUUAGACGUGUAUUCUCAUCAAAAGCGGAUCCAUGUGCAUAGAAGUGGUGUCAACUGAUACACCUUAAAUAAUAAAAAAUAGAUUCAACUUGGGUUAAUAAGCUAGCGAAUUGAAAGCGCAGCCAAGCCUCCUGGUUUUGCUCUGGCGAAUACUUUAAAGACAUUUUCUGUAUAUUUUGAAAGUUUUCUGUUCAAAUAAGCUUUUGUAAGAUACUACUACUAUGCAAGGAAAUAUUCGAACAUAUGUUAGCAAUACAUAUUUGAGUUAAAUAAAUAUUUGCUCGAUUACAGAGACUAAUGCGUCCGCUAAACACUCGUGCUUUGCUUUAAUAGCAUGUUGCCAAUUUGUCGGACAAUGUUUAUUGACUAAUCAUUAUUUUAUAAUUUUCUAGAAGAAUCAAAAGUUCUUAAUGUUUUACUUUGCUUUUAUGAGAAUGAUAUACUGUUUUUCUUCAAAAAUUGUUUAUUCGUAAUUCUACAUUUUUUUUUCAUGAAACUAAUACAGUAUAUAAAUACUUCUUUGCUAUUUCUAAAUCGAUAUGCUUUUGUUCUGCCAUCAUACUUAAAUUAUUACCAAAAUUUACGAUGGUAAAUAUUGAUUUUUUAAUCUCCGUGCAUAAAAAAAAAAAAAUCUCCGUGCAUGCUUCCCAACCAAAUAUUCUCUUUUUCUGACUGUGCAAAUGUAUUUGCUUUACAUUAUUUAAAAAAUCUGACAAUAAUAGCAAUACACAAUAUAUGCGUUUUUAAUGCAUAUAGUUUAUGCUGCUUAUCGACGUGGGAACAUACUUGUAAUAUACCUUAUAUUUGGUCGUCCGUUUAAUCAAAAUUAUACCCCCGCUUGUUUUUGUUUGUGUUGAAGAUACGUAUUGUCAAUGUAUAAGAGAGUUAGAACAUAAUUAUGACUCUUGCGACUAGUUAUAUUUUAUUAAUUAGGGUAACCCAAAACAUAAGCAAGAGAAUAUUGAUCGCGCGUGGAUAACGACACAACGUAUAAGAAACAUGAGACAUGUCACAAUCACUAUGAAAGUUUUCCAAUCAGAACUCGAGUAAAAGCAGAUGAUUUUAUGUAUAAUAUACUUUCAAAAAUUAAUUAUACUUAAGCAUUUCUUUUGGGAUCUGAGUUUUAAUUAGACUGCCUGAAAUUUCCAUGUUGAAUGACAUUCUUUCAAACUGCAAGCGGUGGAGUUUCUAGACUUUGAAAGGGAAAAUAAAGCAUCUCGGUCGACGUAUACAAAGCACAGAAACAUUGUACACUGUGGGUAAAUCGAAGCUUUACAUAUGUUUGAAGCACUCUGAUUAUAAUGAUAACUAGUAGCACUGGGCAAAAUAUCCGGAACCGAAGAACCUACCUAAAGCCUACCCAAAAACUAGAGUUCCGAAUCCGAUCGGACCCGGAGUAAAUAACCGAAUGGAUUCUAAAUUGAUGUAUCCGAAAAAUAGGUAUCCAAUUUAAUCCGAACCGAGAACCAAAUGAGUAUUCAAAGAUAUCCAAAAUGUAAAUUUAUAUUUACAAAUAUUAUUGAUAAUUAUAUGUAUAAUUAUUUUAAUAAUUAAAUUUAUAAAUUAAAUAUAUUAGUUAUUUUCAAUAUUUUGUGUAUUUUUGGAUAAAAUAUGAUAGUUUGGAUAGAAAUACUCAAACAAAACUAUAUAUGAUGAGUAGUUUUGGUUAUUUUUUGGUACAUUUGGGUAGUUUGGAUACAAAAUAUCUGAAUCGGAUCAGGUAAUAUGGUUACUUUUGGUGCUAUUAUCCGAACUCGUUUAAGAUACAUUGGUUAUUCAGUUAUUUCUAGGUUCUUUUACAUCAUAACCGAACCCACCCGGACCCGGGACAACCCGACUCGAACCCGACCCAAAAUUUUGUAAUACCCGAACAUGACCUAAUUUCCAAACCCAAAAACCCGAUAUCCGAAAGAACCGAUCCGUACCCGAACGGGUAUCCGAAUGCUUAGGCCUAAUAACUAGAGAUUGACCCGCUCGCCCGAGCGGGUGUUUGUUUUUACUUUUUCUUAUAAGUAAAUUUUUGUUUUGUAUAAAUGGUAUAGAUAUAUUUAUAAUUAAAUGUAUAUGUUAGUGGUUGACCCGUGAAACCGCACAAGUAUUUGUUUCUACGUUUUUAUAAGUAACUUUUUGUAUAAAUGGUAUUUUUUUGCUUAGCUAGAUUAUAUAAAGUAUUACCUAAAGGCAUAAAAUAUAUAGAAAUAUUACGAUUUAAUUAACAAAUGAGUUUUUAAUAAAUAGAGAAUAUUCUUAAAUAUUUUUGUGAUAAAAAUUGAUUAUGUUUGUUAUUUACGAUUUUUAAUAAAUAACAAAAUUUUGUAACAAUAACAUUGCCAGUUAUGAUUUUGAAGAAUGUGUGGAUGGAUGUUUUUCCUUGUUAGUUAUAAUAAGGGUAAACUAAAUUUAGAGUAGUAUAUAAUACUUCAAGCUUUAAAACACAUAUAAAGAAUAAUAAAUUGGGUAAUUCUCUCAAAUAGCCAUUUUUAAGUUUUUGUCACAAAAAUAGCCUUCAAGAAAGAAAAUGACCAAAAUAAUUUCUUUUUAUUUUGAAAAUUUUAAUUUUAAUUUUUUAUUUUUUAAAAUUUGAAACACUAUCCCCAGAACUCCACCCCUUAACUCUAAACCUUAGUUAACCGAGGGUAACAAUGUAACAAUAUACUAAUAAGGCAUAAAAUUAUUUUGGUCAUUUUCUUCAUUAAAAGCUAUUUUUGUGACAAUAAACUAAAAUGACUAUCUUAAGGAAUUUUUCUAAUAAAUUUGAUAAAUAUUUUUUAAAUGCAAAACAUAUAUGUGUGAAGAAGAAGAGUUACAUGGGUGGAAAUUUGCAAAGAAAUUCAGUUUUAUUAGGAAGAAUAGUUUGGAGGAGGUUAGCAAAUCUUAAAAUGUAAAAUACAAAUCUUAUAUAAAAAAUGUAAAUAUAAAAUGAGAAAACAUAUACUAAUAAGGCAGAAACUUUAAUCAAUCUUCUGUUUUCUUGGAGUGCAAGAUUUGAACCGAUUACAUGGUCGAGUGAUUGCUAUUUUAAUUUGUAUUUACAUUUGUUGUUUAUGAAUUUGUGUAUUGUGAAGUUGUAAUGGUCGAGAUAUAUAAAUUGAAGGUGUAUUGAGAUGAUGGCGAUAUAGGUUUUGAAACCAACUUACAAUAAUAUUUUAUUUUUCGACAUACAAUUUUAAUAUUACUAUAUGUAAGCAAAAAAAUUAACCAAAUUGAUUGUGUAUUAGAUUUAGGAUAUAAUUUGUCAAAUUAG